ensembl:lncRNA
UGGGGAUCAUAUUUAGGCAGCCAUUUCCCCACUAUGUUUUGUGGGAUGUUGUUUUUGUGUUGUUGCCUUUGAGCACUUCAUUUACAUCACGUUCGGUGUUUCUUUAUUUUGUAUUGUUCUAAGUUCCACUUCAAUAAAUAUGUGGAACCCAGAUCACGCAGUGCUUUGGUCCGAGUAUGCUUCCAACGAUGAUCGUGACACAUUGUCCAUUUGGAAGACCCAUUUGCAACCAAGCUUUAACUUCCUUACUGAUGUCUUGAGAUGUUGCUUCAAUAUAUCAACAAUUUUCCUUCCUCAUGACGCCAUCUAUUUUGUGAACUGCAUCAGUCCCUCCUGCAGCAAAGCACACCAACAACAUGAUGCUGCCACCCCUGUGCUUCACGGUUGGGAUGGUGUUCUUCGGCUUGCAAGCCUCCCCCUUUUUCCUCCAAACAUAAUGAUGGUCAUUAUGGCCAAACAGUUCUAUUUUUGUUUCAUCAGACCAGAGGACAUUUCUCCAAAAAUUACAAUCUUUGUCCCCAUGUGCAGUUGCAAACCGUAGUCUGGCUUUUUUAUGGCGGUUUUGGAGCAGUGGCUUCUUCCUUGCUGAGAGGCCUUUCAGGUUAUGUUGAUAUAGGACUCGUUUUACUGUGGAUAUAGAUACUUUUGUACCUGUUUCCUCCAGCAUCUUCACAAGGUCCUUUGCUGAUGUUCUGGGAUUGAUGCGCACUUUUCGCACACAAGUACGUUCAUCUCGAGGAGACAGAAUGCGUCUCCUUCCUGAGCGGUAUGAAGGCUGCGUGGUCCCAUGGUGUUUAUACUUGCGUACUAUUGAUUGCACUGAUGAAAGUGGUAUCAGGUGUUUGGAAAUUGCUCCCAAGGAUAAACCAGACUUGUGGAGGUCUACAAUAUUUUUUCUGAAGUCUUGGCUGAUUUCUUUUGAUUUUCCCAUGAGUUUGAAGUUCGAAGGUAGGCCUUGAAAUACAUCUACAGGUACACCUCCAAUAGACUCAAAUUAUGUCAAUUAGCCUAUCAGAAGUUUCUAAAGCCAUGACAUCCUUUCUGGAAUUUUCCAAGCUGUUUAAAGGCACAGUCAAUUUAUUGUAUGUAAACUUCUGACCCACUGGAAUUGUGAUACAGUGAAAUAAUCUGUCUGUAAACAAUUGUUGGAAAAAUUACUUGUGUCAUGCACAAAGUAGAUGUCCUAACCGACUUUCCAGAACUAUAGUUUAUUCACAAGAAAUUUGUGGAGUGGUUGAAAAAUGAGUUUUAAUGACUCAAACCUAAGUGUAUGUAAACUUCCGAGUUCAACAAUAUGUCUCAGUCUGUGAGUCAUGCCGUGGGUAGAGGUCGUUCCCAUGCUGGUUGUGUUGUUUCCCUGCUGGUAGAGGUGGAACUCCACAGAGGUGACUGGAAUGAAGAGGAGGCUUUGGUGUCUGUCUCUACCCUACCGCCUGGUGAGUGAGGUGUCUGUCUCUACCCUACCGCCUGGUGAGUGAGGUUUCUGUCUCUACCCUACCGCCUGGUGAGUGAGGUUUCUGUCUCUACCCUACCGCCUGGUGAGUGAGGUGUCUGUCUCUACCCUACCGCCUGGUGAGUGAGGUGUCUGUCUCUACCCUACCGCCUGGUGAGUGAGGUGUCUGUCUCUACCCUACCGCCUGGUGAGUGAAGUGUCUGUCUCUACCGCCUGGUGAGUGAAGUGUCUGUCUCUACCCUACCGCCUGGUGAGUGAGGUGUCUGUCUCUACCCUACCGCCUGGUGAGUGAGGUUUCUGUCUCUACCCUACCGCCUGGUGAGUGAGGUGUCUGUCUCUACCCUACCGCCUGGUGAGUGAGGUUUCUGUCUCUACCCUAUCGCCUGGUGAGUGAGGUGUCUGUCUCUACCCUAUCGCCUGGUGAGUGAGGUUUCUGUCUCUACCCUAUCGCCUGGUGAGUGAGGUGUCUGUCUCUACCCUACCGCCUGGUGACUAAGGUCUUCAAUGUGGAACAGAAACAUCACUAAACAAUGUUAGGCCAGGGAUGACCAGGGGUGUCCUGUGUUAUCUAAACAUUGUGUGUGAGUUAUCUGGAUGUUGUGUGUAUCCUCUGUGCUAGACUGUAGGGAAGAGACGUACCCCUGUACCAGGAUGUACUCUGUCCACCGGCCCAUCAAGAGAUGCAUCCACUCCCUCUGCCUUUACAGCCUCCCUCUAUGUGAUCAACAAGGAGAUAUGUGUUAGAACUGUCUGCCAACAGGAUGAGUACCUGAAGGCUGAGCUCUGCAGGGAGCGGUCCGGCUGGCCCAAACGCUUCCAGAGGUCAACCACCAAUAAGAAACGCUGUCACAAUCGCCGCGGCAAUCCCAAAAUCUGGGAAAACAAGGCCUGAUGGGCCCAAGACGGAGGAGUUAGAAGGAGGGGUGGAGGAGGAAGGAGAGGAGGACAGAAAGAGAGAAGGAGGGGUGGAGGAGGAAGGAGAGAAGGAGUAGGAGGGAGGACACCCUUGGAGACAGAACACUGGGUUGUCUCCAUAAAAAGACCCGGAAACACCAUAAAUUCCCCGCUCAACACCUGGUGCUAGCCUGUGCCUUAAUACACAACCACAACCACGCACGCACACACACAAACAAUAUAUAUUUAAAACACAGUCCACGUGACUCCAGUUAAGAGCAGUCUGAGUCAUAUUUUUCAUUUCUUCUAUUGGACCUGUGUUUUAAUAGAACUGUCUGUGAAUAUCAGGGGAGAAAUCACUCCCCACAGAUUGGACCUGUGUUUUAAUAGAACUGUCUGUGAAUAU